GCUCAACCGAGGAAGUGCUUCGAAAACUGGUAAACUUGAGUGCAGAAGAGGAAAGUGGAACUCCAUGUGUAGCGGUGGAAUGCGUAGAUAUAUGGAAGAACACCAGUGGCGAAGGCGGCUUUCUGGUCUGUAACUGACGCUGAGAUUCGAAAGCAUGGGUAGCAAACAGGAUUAGAUACCCUGGUAGUCCAUGCCGUAAACGAUGAGUGCUAAGUGUUGGAGGGUUUCCGCCCUUCAGUGCUGCAGCUAACGCAUUAAGCACUCCGCCUGGGGAGUACGAUCGCAAGAUUGAAACUCAAAGGAAUUGACGGGGGCCCGCACAAGCGGUGGAGCAUGUGGUUUAAUUCGAAGCAACGCGAAGAACCUUACCAGGUCUUGACAUACCAUGAAGGGGUAAGAGAUUAGUCUUUCCCUUCGGGGACAUGGAUACAGGUGGUGCAUGGUUGUCGUCAGCUCGUGUCGUGAGAUGUUGGGUUAAGUCCCGCAACGAGCGCAACCCUUAUUAUCAGUUGCCAGCAUUCAGUUGGGCACUCUGGUGAGACUGCCGGUGACAAACCGGAGGAAGGUGGGGACGACGUCAAAUCAUCAUGCCCCUUAUGACCUGGGCUACACACGUGCUACAAUGGUCGGUACAACG
rnacentral:rRNA from 1 species